rnacentral:rRNA from 1 species
GGUGAGUAAUACAUCGGAACGUGCCCAGUCGUGGGGGAUAACGUAGCGAAAGCUACGCUAAUACCGCAUACGAACUCAGGUUGAAAGCGGGGGAUCGCAAGACCUCGCGCGAUUGGAGCGGCCGAUGGCAGAUUAGGUAGUUGGUGGGGUAAAGGCCUACCAAGCCGACGAUCAGUAGCGGGUCUGAGAGGAUGAUCCGCCACACUGGGACUGAGACACGGCCCAGACUCCUACGGGAGGCAGCAGUGGGGAAUUUUGGACAAUGGGGGCAACCCUGAUCCAGCCAUUCCGCGUGAGUGAAGAAGGCCUUCGGGUUGUAAAGCUCUUUCAGCUGGAACGAAACGGUACGCUCUAACAUAGCGUGCUAAUGACGGUACCAGCAGAAGAAGCUCCGGCUAACUACGUGCCAGCAGCCGCGGUAAUACGUAGGGUGCGAGCGUUAAUCGGAAUUACUGGGCGUAAAGCGUGCGCAGGCGGAUUGUUAAGCAAGAUGUGAAAUCCCCGGGCUUAACCUGGGAAUGGCAUUUUGAACUGGCAGUCUAGAGUGUGUCAGAGGGGGGUGGAAUUCCACGUGUAGCAGUGAAAUGCGUAGAGAUGUGGAGGAACACCGAUGGCGAAGGCAGCCCCCUGGGAUAACACUGACGCUCAUGUACGAAAGCGUGGGUAGCAAACAGGAUUAGGUACCCUGGUAGUCCACGCCCUAAACGAUGUCAACUGGUUGUUGGAGGAGUGAAAUCCCUUAGUAACGAAGCUAACGCGUGAAGUUGACCGCCUGGGGAGUACGGUCGCAAGAUGA